rnacentral:rRNA from 1 species
UAGGGAAUCUUCCGCAAUGGACGAAAGUCUGACGGAGCAACGCCGCGUGAGUGAAGAAGGAUUUCGGUUCGUAAAACUCUGUUGUUAGGGAAGAAAAAAUGUAUAGUAACUAUAUACAAAAGAGACGGUACCUAACCAGAAAGCCACGGCUAACUACGUGCCAGCAGCCGCGGUAAUACGUAGGUGGCAAGCGUUGUCCGGAAUUAUUGGGCGUAAAGAGCUUGUAGGCGGUUCGUCGCGUCUGGUGUGAAAGCCCAUCGCUUAACGGUGGGUUUGCGCCGGGUACGGGCGGGCUAGAGUGCAGUAGGGGAGACUGGAAUUCCCGGUGUAACGGUGGAAUGUGUAGAUAUCGGGAAGAACACCAAUGGCGAAGGCAGGUCUCUGGGCUGUUACUGACGCUGAGAAGCGAAAGCGUGGGGAGCGAACAGG